rnacentral:rRNA from 1 species
UACGGUAGGGGGCAAGCGUUGUCCGGAUUUAUUGGGCGUAAAGAGCGUGUAGGCGGCCAGGUAGGUCUGCUGUGAAAACUCGAGGCUUAACCUCGAGAUGUCGGCGGAAACCAUCUGGCUAGAGUCCGGAAGAGGAGAAUGGAAUUCCCGGUGUAGCGGUGAAAUGCGCAGAUAUCGGGAAGAACACCCGUGGCGAAGGCGGCAUCCUGGACCGGUAUUGACACUGAAAAGCGAAAGCCAGGGGAGCAAACGGG